GACGUAGGGAGCAAGCGUUGUCCGGAAUUACUGGGCGUAAAGAGCUCGUAGGCGGUGUGUCGCGUCGGCCGUGAAAACCUGCAGCUUAACUGUGGGCUUGCGGUCGAUACGGGCAUCACUGGAGUUCGGCAGGGGAGACUGGAAUUCCUGGUGUAGCGGUGAAAUGCGCAGAUAUCAGGAGGAACACCGGUGGCGAAGGCGGGUCUCUGGGCCGAUACUGACACUGAGGAGCGAAAGCGUGGGGAGCGAACAGG
rnacentral:rRNA from 1 species